CGGCGCUUCCUCCAAGGUGAGGCUCAGCAAGGCCGAGGCAGCUGCUGCGCAGAAGCGGGAGCAGAUGGCAGCCGCGGCCGAGGCGCGCAUGGCUCGCCUGCAGCUGCUCUCGCAGCAACAGCAGCUCUGGUGGCGCACCUGCUGCUCAUCCAUGCCUGAAUCAGUGCAAAUUCUUUGGAUUGGAUUCUCCAUCACUGCCAUAUUGUCAGCUUGAGGACAAGACGCUAGAGGAUUGCGCUUGCUAUUCAGGUGACCGUGCGGGGCAGGCAGGGAAGAUCGCCAAGGAGGUCUCGAUGGGGAAGCUCCAUACGUGAUGUUGCUCCGUGGGUCUUGGGCCUCGCAGCGGUGUACAUUGCUGCAUCACAGAGGAAGCACGCACGAUGAAUCACAGAGCAUUUCGUGGUCUUGCGUACUACUUCACAGUACUGUGGCAGCCUGGCCAGGCCAGUCCAGGGGAGCUUCCCUGGCUAGUCACCAAAUGGUUGUAGGUCCACCUCGCGGCGCCAGAUGUAGCAUGAAGCAUAGGAAAGGAUGAACAGGAAAGAGACUUGCUAGUGCUCAUAAGGAAGAGUAUGCCAGUCUCUGACGAUUGUGGCUGGAAGCGCUGUGCAUGCAUGAGGAGUGCUGAAC
rnacentral:lncRNA from 1 species